AACACUCAUCGUAUUUCAAUGGCCUCCUAAGUGGGAGCUUCAAGUAAUCAAUUUCGAUCACUUUCUUCUUGUGAAACUGAAUUCAACGAAGCCCGGAACUUGAAGUUGUGCUUUCUUUCAAUUUAGAUUAUGAUUCUUCGAAGAAAUGAACAAGUUUUAUUUUUCUUGAAUUUGAAUAAUUAUAUUCUAAUCAAUUUUGUUUAAUUGCUUCUGGCUAAAUUGUUGAGAAAUUUUGUAGUGAAUCUGGAUCAAUUGUAUAUAUGACCGCCCAUUGGAUGUAACAUCUAAUAAUUUCCUCCCUCUUAUGAGGGUGCACUUUAUUUUGGAGUGCAGACGCUUCUCAUGAGAUGCAAAACUUGGUUUUCUGAGGGAGUAUCGGCGGAGGUGCCACCGCGAGUACAAUUCGAUGAUUUGAUUUCUAUUUGGAGCUUUGGUUUAGAGCAUGCCGUGAUUUUCUUCCGGAAUUAUGUGGGAGCUAUCUUGCGAGAAACUUUGUUGUUGCUAAUGGUUGAAUUGGAGAUUGUUAUCAAUUAAGUUGCGUCAGAUCCUAUGGACUUAUUAUUACUGUAUUGCGUGAAGCACAUGAAUUUGACAGUAGACAGUGAGAUGCAUCUUUCCAAUGCACUUCUAGUUUGGAUCAAUGCUAACGCAGAAUGCAUGGAAGGCUUGAGCAGAAAUGAAGAUGACUGCACUGGCAUUUUGAAACAGAUCCAUUUAAGCCUUUUGCCGCUGUGGUUUGCUUGUUAAUAGAGCCAGUGUUGCAGCCCAAUGUUAACACUCCUCUUCCUUGUAAAAUUGCCUCCAAUGAAGAACUUGGAAAGCUAUUUUCGUGGAAUUUGCCAAUUGCCAAUUGCCAAGUAAUAUAGGGAAAAAGUCCAUUUUGGUCCCUGUAGUUUGCCCUUUGUGGUUUCAAUUUGAAGCAAUUCAAAGGCAAUCCUCAAUUUCCAUAAAAUAAAAAAAAUAAUUUAACUUCUAUUAGUUUUGGAGGGGCAAUUCGGUCCACAAAUUAUUUUAAAAAAAUUAUUCAAUAGGAAAAUACAUAUUAAAGACAGAAAAAAAAAAUCUUAAAAUUGAAAAAAACAAUAUCCCACUGCGCACCACCCCUCCUACUCCCCACUGCCUUGUCCAUCAAAUCCAGAACAUUGUCACCAGCCAAUAUAUCGUCAUGGUCCAGCUGCUUAAACAAUGAGAAAUUGGGAUUUGAGGUUUUGGUUGGUGAAUUGAAUUUUCAGUUUUGGGAGAUUGAUGAAAUGAGAGAUUGGGAAAGACCCCAAUCAGCUGGGCACGGAACUUCCACGUCCCUUUCCAUGUCCCUUAGUCCGUCGGGUCAGGGGUCAUGGACUCCCUCCAAAACCCAAACCCCUCGAAACCCAGAGCGCCACCAAAGACGCCAUGCCUCCAAUGUUCGACCCAAGAUUGGUCCUCUAGGUCUCUCCCCGAAGAAGA